GCUGUGCAGCUCUAAAUGAGCAACAGUGAUUGAACCCCAGCAGGGGGCAGCGCUGCACCUUAAUCCCUCUGGGCAGUGUGCGAUAGAGGUGGUGUGAUAUGUCUUCAGGUGGGUGAGGGCCAAUGCUCCCUCUCAGCUGUGCGCAUGUGCGGCGCACACAGGUUAGGAAAUCCGCGCACAUAGGAAACUGAACUGUGCACAAAAAAAUAAAUUCCCCUCAAAAUAUGAUCAUAAUAAAACAAACACGGUUGUCAACUGAAAAAUGCUAAAUUGACCAUGAGACAAGAGAGGCCCAACUUGGCUGUGUGCAUUAUUAUUGCUUCUCGAUCAUCGAUAUCUCUGGUCUCGUACCUCCCUGCUCCUGCUCGCUCCACACUCAGUCUCUAUGACUGGGCUCGCUGAGUCGCUGUCCCGGUCUUCUGGACCUCUAUGCUUCUCUGAGAACGACUAUAUUAACAAAAAGUAAUUUCAGGUUUACAAUUUUACAUACAAUUUACAAUUUAGUGCGCACAAGUUUUUGUCAUGGGGGGGAAAAACUUGAAAUUUGUGUGCACGUGGGCCAUUAGAAAUUAGAGGGAACAUUGAUGAGGAGGUAAAAUGUUCAGUAAACUCUCUGGGGAGCGGGGAUGGGGUCUGGAGGCCCCGGGCUGUCCCCCCUCUGCCUGGACUAACGCCGUGCCGGGCACUCGCAGGUGGUGGACGCGCGUGGGGGUCCCAGCGUGAAGACGGCAGCGAGGCCGAGGAAGAUGAAGCUGCUGUCCGGCAGAGUCCGGCCCGGCCCAGGCCCGGUCAGCAGGCUCCAGGGGCGGCUGAAAAGACACCACUCCGACGCGCACAGCUCCGCCUCCAGCGCCUCGCCCGCCCAGUCUCCCAGCUACAGCCACCCGUCCGACGAGGGCUCGGACUCGGAGCUGCCCGCGGGCGCCGGCCGCGCCCCCGUCUUCUCCUUCCUCGACCUGAC
rnacentral:lncRNA from 1 species